AAGCUUUAAUCAAAUUCAAAAAAAUCUCAAAGAAAUUUCAAAGAAACAAUAAGAAAUCUUAAAGAAAUAUUAGAAUGAUUACAAAUAUAUCUCAAAUAAAUCUCAAUUCAAUCUUAAUUUAAUUCUAGUUAAAAUCCUAUUGGACUUCAUUCAAAUUUUAGGCCAAAACUAAUUAAAUCUUAAAUCCUAAAUAAACCUUAAUAAAAUCCUAAAUCCUAAAUCAAAUCCUAAAUCCUAAACUAAAUCCUAAACCAUAAAUCAAAUCCUAACCAAACCCUAAACCAAACUUUAUCCAAAUCCUAAACAAACCCUAAACCAAAUCCUAAAUCCUAAAUCAAAUCCUAAAACUUUAACCAAACCCUAAAUCCUAAACAAAAUCCUAAUCAAAUCCUAAAAAAACUCCUAAAUCAAAUCUUAAAUCUUAAACCAAAUCCUAAAUCCUAAAUCAAAUCCUAAUCAAACGUCAAUCAAAUCCUAAACCAAAUCCCAACCAAACCCUAAACCAAACCCUAACCAAAUCCUAACCAAAUCCUAAAUCAAAUCUUAAUCAAACUCUAAACUAAACCUUAACCAAAUCCUAAUCAAAUCCUAAACCCUAAAUCAAGUCCUAAACAAACCUUAAACCAAAAUUCAACCAAACCCUAAAUUAAACCCUAAACAAACUUUAAACCAAAAUCCAACCAAACCCUAAAUCAAACCCUAAAUCCUAAACCAAAUCCUAAUCAAAUCCUAAACCAAAUCCGAAACCCUAAAUGAAAUCCUAAUCAAAUUCUAAAUCCUAAAAUAAAUCCUAAAUCAAACUCCAACCAAACCCUAAACCAAAUCCUAAAUGAAAUCCUAACAAAACUCUAAAUCCUAAAUCAAACCCUAAUCAAAUCCUAUUAAAUUUUACAACAGAAUUAAAUCUCAAUAAUUAAUGUAUGAACUAUUGAUCUUAUCUCAAAUUUUACAAAUUUCUUAAAAACUAAGUUGAAAAAAAGCACAAAAACUUUGAAAAAGGAUCGAAAUUACCAAAUAGACGAUAACCUCAAAAAAGUGCUUGGAUAUUGGCUAGCCUCCUCUUUCAACCUUGAUGCCAAUAUCCAAGAGCCAAUAUUUCUUUUUUUCACCGUUUGAUUGAUCUCAAAAUUCUCAUAUACAUAGAAAAACAAGUCUUAUAUCCUCUCACAUAAAUUUCACUCCAAUCCAACAAGUAGAUUGUAAGAAAACUUAGAAAUCCUCAUUGGAUCUAAAAUUCUAUUUUCUAAGACCUUGACAUACUUAAACCUCAAUAAUCCUCAUUUCAAUUGUUAGAUUGAGCUAAAAUUUAAAACACAUAUUGAACACAAAUAUGAAUAUUAACCCAUAGAAUUUCACUUGUAGAUCUGCUACAAAUUUUUUGAAAUCACUAGAAACAUCAAUCCUAUUUCAUUUCUUAAAUCCCUAUUCAUCCAAAAACAAUAUUGACUUUGUAAAGCUCUUACAAAGUCAUAAUGACUUCAAAUCAUCCAAAACCAAUGCUUAUAGAAACCUUAUCUAAUUUGCUAUCAAACCUCACUCUUCAAUCUGCAAAUGAACCUCGGAGUCAUCGUUGAGACUCGGUUUUGUGCCCAUAGGUCUGAUUUCGACCCUGGUUCAUAACCAAUCCUCUCUGGGUAUCAAUAUCUAGUUUUUCUAAGUAAAUUUUGCUAGAAUUUAUUCUUAACUUCCUUCUAAAGAUGCCUAAAUCAUUUAUUUUUCCAAUCUAUUUUUUUUGCCUUACUUAUGGUCCUACAAAGUGAAUAGAAGUCACCUUUCUAAAAGGUAGCAUUGGUACCUUUUUAUUUUACUACCCUUUUGACUAUUAACUAUAUUUCUAAGAUAAUUUGUUCUAAUACUUUGAAUUAAGAUCUCCUACAUUACAAUAAUUUCUACACUCUUCAACCUAUUAGUCGUAUUACAUCACGACAGUGCUCCUUCAAUAAGAGUUUGAUAAGAGCCUUGAACAUGUGGCAUAUGAAUCAUGCAAGCUUAGAAGAACAAAGCGCAGUUACUUUUCAUAUAAUUAAGAGCAAUUAGUGAUUAUACAUGCCACAAAGGUAUGGCAUCAUUAUCUAUUGGAGAAGCCACUAGUUAUUCAAAUUGACAAUUGAUUCUUGCUACAUAGUUAAUAUUUUAUAUAAAAUUGCAGCAUCAUCUUUAGAAAGAAUAGUUGAAAUUUUUUGAUAUCUAGCUUAAGUACAAGCAAGGGUGAUAACAUCUUAUUGUAGAAAUAGAUAGCUUAUUGCAGAGACCAGAUUUGAAAAAUGAAUUGAGAAAAAAAGUUAAAAUUACUACCAAUAAUAGUAUCAUUUCAAAUCUAAUCAAAGAAGUAGAAUAAAAGAAAGCUAUGCAUCAAGAUGCUUAUUUUAAGAUGAUUAGCAAUUGGCUAAAGAUGAACAAUAUACAAUAUCAAGUUUAUACUCUUAGUGAUGGCCUAUUCUAUUUCAAGAAGCAAAUUUAGGUACGCAACAAAGUUAAACUCUAGGCGUGCCUACUUCAAAAAAAACAUAACAUCCCAAUAUUUGGACAUCUCAAUAAGAGAAGACUCUAGAAUGGAUCUGAAGGACAUGAUUUUGGAGAAGUUUGGAUUAUGAUGUUCGAGCCUUUAUAUACUCUUACAAAUCAUGUCAAUAUAAUAAAGUAUGUAAUAUAGUAUUUCCUAAACUAUUACUGCCAAUUCUGCUAUCUAUGGCAUGUUGGAAGCAGGUGACUAAGAUCUUAUUAUAUAUUUGCUAUAGAUGCCUCGUAAUCAUACCGCAAUUGCCAUCUUUGGAGAUCGACUCUUGAAGCAACUUCACUUGACUAUGAUGUGCACAGAUAUUCAUGCCCUAAGGCUUGCACAAGCCUUCUUUGAUACCGUUGUCAUUUUGUAAUUUAUUUAUAGUAUAAAAGUAAUUGUUAUUAUAUUAAUGUUAUUUAAUAAUGACCUUAGAAAAUAAUGAGUUAUUUUCUAUAGAAUUUUAUAAUUUAUAAAAAUCUUAAAUAACUUGUAUAAGUUUUAUAAGUAAAAGUAGAAGUAGUAGGAUAUUUAAUAUAGAAGAUGUAGAAAGAUAUGGAUAUUGAUAUUAUAUUAUUGUAGCCUUAGGCCAUCUACGUGGAUAGAUAAGGCAAAGAUAAGAGGAUCUUCACUCUCAUUGGCUGUAGGUUACGACCAAUAAGCUUCAAGGGAUUUUCCAAGAGAAAACCAAAGAGGAGGCCACUUCUUCGAGGGCAUUCGAGGGUUUAGAGGAGUGAUUCAAAAAGCUUGUAUUUUUUGGGCUAUAAUUUUGGUGUAUAAAGUUUGAUAUUUGAGUUUUGUAUGAAGAAGUUAAGGUUGUUUGAAGUUAGGGUGUGAAUUGUUUACUGUUUGUUACUCUUUCAAGCAUACAGAAAGUUGUAGAAGGUUUUCUAGAAAACAAAAGGUGUCGUUGGAAAGCUAGUUUGAAGGACUACAAUUUUUGUGAAAGGAUUGUUAACUUUGAGUUUGUAAUGAGAGAGUUAUGGCUGUUUAAAGUCUAGAUGUGAAAUUUGUACCUAUUGUCACGUUUUCAAGCAUACAAAGAGUUGUAGAAAGGCAUUCAACAAUCGGAAGGUGGAGUUGGAAAGUUGACUUGAAGGGCUUCAACUAUUGUAUAAGAUUUGAUGAAAUCAGAUCUGAAGUGAAGAAGAAAUAGCUAGUCAAAGUCAGAGAUUGCAAAUUAAGGAAGUAAGUGAACCGAAUUGUUGAUGGUUAUGUUUUGAGCCAUUUUUUUUGAGCAUUUUGAAUGAAUUUUGGCUCAAACUUGCCAAAGGUGUAGUUAUAAUAUUGAGAAGCUAUACAAAAAAACAUUUCAUGUCAUUUUAGUGUUGGAUUUGUAAGAAAUUGCAAAAUCAAUAUAUAGGUGUUUGUAAGUCAACAUGUAAAGGCCAUGCUACUGAAAUUAUAUUAUCUAGAGUUUUGUAAAGUAUCGAUGGUUGAAAUUUGGAUAUAAAGGAGUUAAGGGUACUGCCUUACUUCUCAAAACAUUUGAGCUCAAUCUAACGGUGUCGUAAUAUGUUAAGUCUUGCUUGAGAAUACUCCGGGCACCUGGCUAUGGAAGAUAGAAUAGAAAUUGCAAUAUCAAAAUUCCAAUUCUAAUAGAAUACUAACAAUGCUCUAAUUAGACCAUAAUAAUGCUAAUCAAGCUUAAUCAAAUUCAAAAAAACCUCAAAGAAAUUUCAAACAAACAAUAAAAAUUCUUAAAAAAAUAUUAGAAGGAUCACAAAUAUCACUCAAAUACAUUUCAAUUCAAUCUUAAUUUAAUUCUAGUUAAAAUCCUAUUGAACUUCAUUCAAACUUUAGGCCAAAACUAAUUGAAUCUUAAAUCAAACUCUAAACAAACCUUAAACCAAACCUCAACCAAAUCCUAACCAAACCCUAAACCAAACUCUAAACUCUAAAUCAAACCCUAAUUAAAUCCUAAUUGAAAUCCUAAACCCUAACCAAAUCCUAAUUCAAACUCUAAAUCCUAAAUCAAACCCUAAUCUAAAUCCUAAAUCCUAAAUCAAAUCCUAAACCAAAUCCUAACUAAAUCCUAAAUCCUAAAUAAAUUCCAAUCAAAUCCUAAACCAAAUCCUUAAUCCUUAAUCAAAUCCUAAUCCAAACCCUAAUCCAAACCAUAAACCCUAAACCAAAUCCUAACCAAAUCUUAAACCGAACCCUAAUAAUUCCUUUAAUAGAUUUAAACCUCAAUAACUAAUGAAUAAACCAUCGAUCUUAACUCAAAUUUUGCACACUUCUUAAAAAUUAGGUUUAAAAUAAGUACAAAAAAAAAUUAAAAAGGAUCGGAGUUACAAAAUUGAUGUUAACUUCAAAAAUGUGCUUGGAUAUUGGUCGGCUUGCUUCUCCAAUCCCAAUGCCAAUCUUUCAAAGCCGAUAUCUCUUCUUUGCACCAUUUAAUUGACCUCAAAAUUCUCAUGCACAUAGGAAUAUAAGUCUAAUAUCCUUUCACAUAAGUUCCUUUUUAAUCAAACUAGUAGAUUGCAAGAAAUCUUAAAAACCCUCAUUAGACCUAAAAUUCUUUUUUUUGAGACCUUGACCCACUUAAAUCUCAAUAUCCUUUAAUUCAACCGUUCGAUUGAGCUCAAAUUUACAACACAUAUUGAACACAACUAUAACCAAAAAUCCACAAAAUUUCACCCAUAGAUCUCCUACAAUAUUCUUGAAAUCACCCAAAACGUAAAUCCUAUUUUAUUUCACAAAACCCAAGUCAUCUGAAACAAACCUUGACUUUGUAAAGCUCUUACAAAGUCAUAACAACACCAAAUCAUCCAAAAUCAAUACCUAUAGAAACCUUAUCCAAUCUGCUAUCAAAUUUUAUUCUUCAAUCUGCCAAAGAGUUGCGGAGUCAUUGUCGAGACUCAGUUUUGUGCCUCAGUGUCUGAUUUCAACCUUGGUUCAUAACCGGUCCCCUCCGAGUAUCAACAUCCAAUUUUUUUAAGUAAUUUUUACUAGAAUUUACUCUUAAUUUUCUCCGAAAGAUUUCUAUAUCAUUUAUUUUUCCAAUAUUUAUUAUUUUGCCUUAUUUUUGGCCAUACAAAGUAAGUAGAAGCUAUUUUUUCUAAAAGGGCAACAUUACCACUAAAAGUUUUACUACCUUCCUAUCUUUUAUCCAUAUUUUACUACCUUUUCUUUUAACUUGGCUCUUCUUUAAUAAGAUCCAUAUUAUCAUCUUUCACCAUAUAGUCGUGUUACAACACAACAAUGGUUGGAUUGAGAAUUAUCAAAUUUUAAAAUUCAGUGCAUCAAAGAGAUUCGAUAUUGAAGGAAAUUUGGUAUUACAAGGAUUUAACUACCACAAAAGGGUUUUGGAAAUUACAAAAGAUUUAGAAAUUACUAAUUGAUUUUAUUAUUAUUGGAGGUCUAAUAAUUAUUAUUUAUUGCUAUAACUUUUACUAUUACUGGAGGCCUCAUAAUUAUUAUUUACUACUACAACUUUAACUAUUAUUGGAGGUCUUGUUAUUAUUAUUUAUUGCUAUAACUUUUAGUAUUAUUGGAGGUCUCGUUAUUAUUAUUUAUUACUACAACUUUUAUUAUUAUUAGAGAUUCAGUAAUUAUUAUUUAUUUUUAUGAUUUUUACUAUUAUUAGAGGUUUGAUAUUUGAUAUUUAUUACUACUAUGUUUAAUAUCAUAGAAAGGAAUAAAAAUAAAAUUAUAAAUAAUCUUGGAGUAUUUUUUAUCUUAUGAUUAAUUGAUAAUUUAGUAUCAGCCAAAAGCCUAGCGCUUUCUCAAGCCAAAUUCUCUUUUUCUCGAUACCAUUUUUUCUCACCAUAGAUUAUAUUGGAUCAUUGUUUUAGAUCGGGAUCUAUGCUUCACAAGAAGUUUUUGACAAUCCUUAUUCAAGAUAUUAGACACACAACUUGUCAUGUCUAUAACCUUCUAUUUUCAAACAAAUGGACAAAUAGAGCAUGCAAAUUGGAACUUAGAGGAUAUUCUACGUGUAUUUGUAGUGGUUCAUCAUACUAAUUGGAAUGAAUACUUGAUGCUUUUGGAAUUUGCUUACAAUGAAAGUAUUCAAGCAAGUACUUAUCAUUUUUUAUGUUUCUUUGAUAUCAAUCAGCAUCUAAUUAUGCUAAUAAUUCUAUCAUUUCAUUGAUAUAAAUAACCCAAUAAUAGAAGAAUUUAUAUAAUGACUUACAAUGGCUUUCCACAAGGCAUGUUAAUACCUCUUUAUGACAUAAAAUUGACAGAAUCAGUAUGAAGAUAACCAUCGACAAUACAAGAUCUUUUAGAAAAGUCAUUAGAUAUUAUUUUUCAAUGCCAACUUACCACUUACUACAUCAAUCCAAAUCCAUAAACUAGCACUUGGUGGCUUAAAUCUUUUUACAUUUCUACAAUGAUUCUGAUGUCGCAUACUGCCUCAAGCUUCUGCCACAUAUUCGAGUCCAUCCAAUCUUCCAUAUUUUGUAAUUGAAGGAAUUUCAUAAUGAACAAAAGUAUUUUUUGGAUCAACACCAACUACCACGACCACCAAUUAUAGUUGAUGAUCAAUAAGAAUUUGAAGUGGACAGUAUUUUGGAACAUCCCUAUCUUUAUCAUGGUAGUAGACCUCUAUAACUUUAAUAGAAAGUUCUUUGGAAAGGUUAUUCCAUUCAUGAUGCAAUAUAGGAACCUGUACAAAAUCUCAUCCAUUGUCAAGAGAUAAUUCAAAGAUACCAUUGGAAGUGAAAUGAGGAUGGUUUGCAUUAGUAGAGUGAGAUUAAUUGUAACAUGGUAUAGAUAAGAUAAUUGUAUAGAUAGUUAGAACCAUUGAAGUUUUUAGAAUUAGAAUUAGGUUAGUGGAUUAAGUAGGAUCUACUAUGGAAUAUUUUAGAAAGAGUUUAGGAUGAUUAUUUAGAUGGGAUCCACCAUAGAACCUUCUAGAAAGAAUUUAAGGCAAUUAUUUAAGUAGAAUCCUCCACCUAGGGAUAUUCUAGAAAGUUAAAGGUAGUAGAAAAAAAUAUAAAUAGGACUAACCAAGGUCUUUUGGAAUAUCUUGUUAGAUAUGGCUUUUGAUUCUUUCUCUUAAUAAAAAUGGAUUUUAUAUCUUUCUAUUAUGUUUUAUUUUGUCUAAAUUUUGGUUGCUCAAUUUUGUCUUUUAUAUGCCAUUCUAUUUAAUUUUUUUCAAUUUUGUAUUAGUCCAAUUUGUCCUACCUUGUGAUGAGGUUUUAUGUUACCAUGGAUUAGAAGAAACUUAGACACUUAAUGUAGACUAAUUAUGUUUCAUAUUACAUGAGACUAAACUAACAAAUAGGCCAAUUUAUUGCCUAAUACUAAAUGAACUUAAAGAGCUAUAAAAGACAUUGGAUGAAUUCUUAAAAAAAGGCCUCAUUUCAAAAAACACAUUACUAUAGAAAAUACAUGUGUUCUUUGCACUCAAAGAAAAUGGUGGACUUUAGCUUUGCAUCAACUAUCAAUGCUUUAAUAAGUAAAUUAUAAAGAAUGUAUAUUUACUUUUAUGGUUUGAUAAUCUUCUUGAUCAACUUUGAGGUACAACUAUCUUUAGUAAAUUGGAUCUUUAGAGUGGCUAUUAAAAGAUAUCUAAUGCAAAAAAAGAUAUAAAAAAGAUGGCAUUCUGUAUGUACUUUGGACAUUUUGAAUAGCUUCUUUUACUUUUUUGGCUUCAUUAAUGUUCUAGCCUCCUUUAUGGAUCACUUAAAUAGAUUGUUUUGAGAAUUUUUGAACAAAUAUGUAAUUUUUUUUAUUGAUGACAUCCUAGUCUAUAGUAAAAUCUGUAAGGAGCAUAAACAACAUCUACAGGAAGUGCUACAUUAACUAUGAAAUAGUUGUUUUUAUUGCAAACAAACAAAGUAUAAACUUUGGAAGUUGGAUGUCACAUUUUUGAAGCAUGUAGUGUCCUCCAAAGGCAUGUCCAUAGAGCAUGAUAAGGUAAAAGCAGUGGAAGAUUAACCAACUCUCAAUGAUGCUUCUAAAGUUGAUUGGAAAACUGUAGCUAAAAUAAAAAUAAGUCAUUCUAGAUAUUAUCACAUUUUUGUUUAAUAGUUUGUACAUAUUAUUACUUCAUUAAUAAGCCUAUUAGAAAUAAAAUGUUCUAUUUGAAUGGAAAUUAGAGCAAAAAAGGGCUUUCAAUAAGUUAAAGGAGGUACUUAUUAUUAUUUCAAUAUUACAAUUAUAUAAUAUCAAUCUUCUAUAUAUACUUAAUUUUGAUGCUUUUGACUUUGAUAUUGGCAUGGUCCUUCAACAAAAUUUUAGCAGGGGCCUUCAACUUGUGGCAUAUGAAUCAUGCAAGUUCAAAAGGGCAGAGCACAAUUACUUUGCAUGUAAUCAAGAGCCAUUAGAAAUUUGUACAUACCACAAAGAUGUGAUAAUACUAUUUAUUGGAAAAUCUAGUGAUUAUUUGAAUUAACCAUUUUUCCUUGCUGUACAAUUUACAUCUGAAAAAUAUGAAAUCAUGACAUUAUUGUUGGAAGGAACUAUUAUAGCUCUUCAACAUUCAGCUUGAGUACAAAUAAGGGCAACAACAUAUCUGGUUAGAUAGCUUAUUACAAAGACCAAAUUUGAAGUCCAAAUCAGAGGACAAGGUAGAAGUCAUGACUAUUAGUAGUUUCAUUUCAAAUCUAAUAAAAAGAGUAGAAUGGAAGAAAGCUACACAUUGGAAUGUUUCUUUCAAGAUUCUCAUUAAUUGACUAAAAGUAGAUAAUAUAUAAUAUCAAGAUUACUGUCUCAAUGAUGGCUUGCUUUAUUUCAAAAAAUAGAUUUAUAUACUUGACAAAUCUAUAUUUUGGAUGUACAUACUUUAAGAGGGAUAUAACAUUUCAAUAUCUAGAUAACUAAGGCAUAAGAAGUUUCUAGAACGGAUCUCAAUGACAUGAUUUUGGACGGAUUUGGAUUGUGAUAUUUGAGCUUUUGUAUGCUUCUACAAAUUAUACCAAUAUAAUAAAACAUGUAAUAUAGCAUCUUUUGGGCUAUUUUAAUAAAUUCUACUACCUAAUAUAUAUUAAAAAUAUUUUAUUAUAGAUCUUAUUAUGUGUUUGCUGUAAAUGCCUCAUAACCACACUGUAGUUGUCUUUGUAGACAACCUCUUGAAGUAACUUCAUUUACCUAAAAUGCACUCCAAUAUUGAAGGUCCAAUACUUAUAAGGAUCUUUUUUGAUAGUAUCUUUCCUUACCAUAGAUUACCUUGUGUUAUUAUUUCAAAUCAAAAUCUAUGCUUUAUAAGGAAUUUUUGGCAAGCUUUAUUUAAGCUAUUGGAUAUACAACUUUUCAUGUCCACGGCCUUCUAUUAUCAAACAAAUGGACAUAUAGAGUGUAUAAAUUGGACCUCAAAUGAUAUGCUACAGGCAUUUGUGGUAAUUCACUAUAGUGAUUGGAUUGAAUAUUUGGUACCUUUAGAAUUUUCUUAUAAAGAUAGUAUUCAAGCAAGUACCAGUCAUUCACCAUUCUUCGUUAAUAUUAGUUAACAUCUGCUUAUAUUAGCAACUCUUCAUCAUCUCAUUGUCACCAACAAUGUGACAACAAAAGAAUUUAUAUAACAACUUAUACCAACUUUGUAGGAAGCAUGGCACUGCCCUUUUAUCACAAAAAAAUGACAAAAUCAAUUUCCAAAUAAUCAUUGACAAUAAAAAAUCUUUUAAGAUGGUGACUAGGUAUUACUUUCUAAUGCCAAAAUUUUACUUGUUACAUCAAUCUAAGUUCGUAAGCUAGCACUUCAAUGGCAUGGAUCUUUUUAUAUUUCUCCAAUGAUUUUUGAUGUUGCAUACCACCUCAAGCUUCUGCCACAUAUUCAAAUCUAUUUGGUCUUCGAUAUUUUUCAACUCAAGGAAUUUUAUACUAAACUAAGGAACUUUUGGACUAAUACCAACUACUUCUACUACUACUACCAUUGAUUGUGAUUAAUGACCAAUAGAAGUAUAAAAUGAAGAAAAUUUUGGAGCAUUACUACCUUCAUCAUAGCAAUGGACAUCCACAAUUUUUAUACAAACUCCUUUGGAAAGAUUAUUCCAUCCAAGAUGUAAUAUGAAAGCCUGCAUAGAAUCUCAUCUAUUGUCAAGAAAUACUUUGGAAAUACCAUUGGCAAUAAAAUAAGAAUGUUUUGCAUUAGUGGAGGAGAAUUAAUUAUAACAAGGUAUAAAUAUGAUAUUUGUAUUAAAAAUAGAUAGUUGGAGCUAUUUUUGAGAAGUUUCUAGAAUUCAAGUUAAGUUGGUGGUUUAUAUGGAAUCCUUUAUGGAAUAUUUUAAAAGGACUUAAGGUAGUUAUUCAGAUAGAAUUUAUCACUAAAAUCUUUUAGAAGGGUAGUUUCUUAAGUGGAGCCGACUUUUAGAAUCUUCUAGAAGGCAUAAUUAUCUUAAUAGGAUCUAUUAUUAAGAAUAUUUUAGAAAGUUCUAAGAUGGUUGGAUAAAAUAUAAAUAGAAUUAGCCAAGGCCAUUUAGAUAUUUUGUUAAAUAUGGCUUUAGUUUUUUUUUUUUUUUUUUUUUUUUUUUUGUUCUAUAUUAUUUUAUUUUCUUUUGCUUUCUUCUGCCUUUCAUAUUCUAUUUUGUUUAGUUCUGUUUAGUUUUGUUUCGGUUUAAUUUAUCUUAUAUUGUAACAUAAUUUAUAUUGCUAUAGAUCAAGGUUUUUGAUGUUAAAGAGAGUCUAGUCCUAUUUCAAUAUGUACAUGGAAAAUUUAAAUUAAUUAGUGAACUACCUUUUUUUUGUAUUUUUUUUUAAAGUCUAAAAAUCUAAAAAUAUUUAAAAUAAAUUCUUAUUUAAAAUGUACACUUGAGAAUGUUCAAAAUUAAAAUAAAUACUAUCAUUGUGCUAGACAAGGUUUCAAUCAAUUCAAAUUGUAAUGCAAAGAUUUUAUAAAAAUUAUAAGAGAUCUUUUAGAAUUUUUUAUUGACAUUUGCUUUGAUUGAUAUUGAAUAAGCUUUUAAGAAUAUUUUGAUAGUUUAAUUUUUCUUAAAGUAUAUAAAUAGAUCUAUAGAACUUAUCAAGGAUUAUUAUGCACAACAUUCACACUAUCAUUGUCGUAAUAUGUGAAGUCUUGCUUGAAAAUACUCUGGGCACCUAACUAUGGAAGGUAGAAUAAAAAUUACAACAACAAAAUCCAAACUCUAAUAGAAUACUAACUAAAUUCUAAUUAGACCAUAAUAAUAUUAAACAAGCUUUAAUCAAAUUCAAAGAAACCUCAAAGAAAUUUCAAAGAAGCAAUAAAAAAUCUUAAAGAAAUAUUAGAAUGAUCACAAAUAUAUCUCAAAUACAUCUCAAUUCAAUCUUAAUUUAAUCCUGGUUAAAAUCCUAUUGGACUUCAUUCAAAUUUUAGGCCAAAACUAAUUAAAUCUUAAAUCCUAAAUAAACCCUAAUAAAAUCCUAAAUCCUAAAUCAAAAAUAAACCCUAAUAAAAUCCUAAAUCCUAAAUCAAACUCUAAAUCCUAAACCAAAUCCUAAAUCCUAAAUCAAACCCUAACCAAACCUUAUAUCCUAAAUCAAACCCUAUUCAAACCUUAAAUCAAAUCCUAAAUCCUAAAACAAAUCCUAAUCAAACUCUAAAUCCUUAAUCAAAUUCUAAUCAAAUUCUAAACCCUAAAUCAAACCCUAAACCUAAACCAAACCCUAACCAAACCUUGAACAGUUAACCAAAUCCCAACCAAAUUCUAAAUAAAUCCUAAAUCUAAUCUUAACCAAAAUUUAAACCAAAUCCUAAAUCCUAAAUCAAAUCCUAAUCAAAUCCUAAUCCUAAAUCAAAUCCUAACCAAACUCUAAACCCUAAAUCAAACCCUAAACCCUAAAUUAAAUCCUAAACUAAAUCUUAAAUCUUAAACCAAAUCCUAACUAAACUCUAAACCCUAAAUCAAAUCCUAAUCAAAUCUCAAAACAAAUCCUAAAUCCUAAAUCAAAUCUUAACCAAACCCUAAUCCGAAAUCAAAUCCUAAUCAAAUUCUAAAUCCUAAACUAAUCCCUAAACAAAUCCUAGUAAUUCC
rnacentral:lncRNA from 1 species